CUUGCUAGCCUGAGAGGGUGUUGCCUUUCUGCUGAGGAGGUGGCAGCCAAGUCACAGCACUAAAUAUCACCCUUCCUAUAGCAGAAGCUCAUUAAAAUGUGUUAUAUGGCUUUCCGUGAACCCAAGCUCAUACCUUCCCUUGGACUUCUGUGAAGACUAGAUGGAGCUAAGACACAACAUGAUACCC
rnacentral:lncRNA from 1 species